rnacentral:lncRNA from 1 species
GCCGAGGGUGACGUCCACCUUGGCCCUGCGGAUGGUGGCCACGGCCGGUGGGUACAGCCUCAGCGUCUCGUUCAGGAUCAUCCCCAGCUGGAACGGGACACGGAGAAGAAACAAGGUGAGUCUUUUUUUGUCGCUGCGGAGUUACCGGAAUACCCCUCCGGUCCGGACGUUUUGUUUGAAAAGAUCAUCCUUCGGUAGUAAGUACUUUCGGUUUCGGAACAGUGUUGUGUGGGUGGCGUACCGUUUUCAGCUUGUGCAGGUGCUCCUUGGCGGGGAGCUCGCCGAGGCCGCACACGGCGAGGACCUCCUGCCGGGCGCGGUCCUGCCACUCCGGGUGCAUGGCGAGGAGCACCGUGGCCCAGGUCAGCAGGUUGGUGGUCGUCUGCUUGCCGGCGAAGAAGAACGUCUUGCACUCCUCCACCAUGUCCUCCACCGGCAUGGCCUGCGACUUCUUGUCGCGGGCAUUUAUCAUCAGCCCCAGCAGGUCCCUGAAGCCGCCGCUGUUGCCCUUCUCCUUGAUCUCCGCCUCGUGGUCCUCGGCGGCGUCGCUGCGCCGGCCGAUGAGCUGGACUAGGCCCCGCCUGAUCUCCCUGUCCAGGCCCCACGACAUCCGGUUCUUCUUGGUCGGCAAGAACCUGCAGAUCAAUUGAAUUGACGACGGCGGACACAUGAGUACACAAGUAUGCAGAUGUUAAUGGAGAAUCUCUGAGCGGUGACUUGACUGAUUCGGUUGGGAUUAAUGACGUAUUUGACGUACCGGUAGCCCGGGACGAGCACCUUGCGGAAGGCCUCGGAGGCGAAGGCCAUGAGGCGGCCCUGCAUGCGGAACACCACGCGGCCGGAGGCGUAGCUGCGCCCGAACGUGGCGCGCGUGAUGGCCUCCUCGGCCACCGCCUGGAACCACUCCGCCACGUCCACCUCCACCUCGCCGCCGCUCGCGCACGCCAUCGCCCGCCACCUCUCCGCCAGCGCCGCCACUGACCUGCCGACGUGCGGCACCAGCCGCUGCAAAAAAAAACAUCGCCGGCGCGGCGCCGUGUCACUCGCUGCACACUGACCAAGCCGAGCGGGCCAAAGAGAAAGGGCGGUAUGCGUUUCAUCAGUACGUUGAGGUUGUCGGGGUAGAAGGCGGGGGCGAGAACGCGGCGGUGGAGGGCCCACUUGUCGCCGUGCAGGCUGACGAGCCCGUCUCCCUCGAGCUGCCGGACGAUGGGGUGCGCCUCGUAGCGGUCGAACGCCUCCGCGCGCGUGAGGAAGAUCUCGCGGACGAGCUCGGGGUCCGCCACCGUGAGCCGCGGCGUCGGCCCGAACCAUAUCAAGAACGUCGGCCCUGCGCCGCCACGACAAGACCCAACCACCAUUAGAACUCCACCCAUUGAUUGCGGAGAACGUGAGCUGCUGACAGCGAGAGAAGGGAAGAAACACGCGGCGCAUGCAUGCGUACCGUAGAUCUUCCUCCAGUAGUGGUAGAAGGCGAGCACCCGGGGCAGCGCGUUGUGGGAGGUGGCCGGCGACAUGGGCUUGGCGGUGGCCUCCGCCAUGAGUGCCACCAUCUCCCGGACGCAGCCGACGAGGAAGCGGUACGGCGGGCCGCGCACGCCCUGCCGCGCGAAGUGCGCCUCCAGCCGCCGCGGCCGCCACCACAGCGCGUCCGUCACCCGCGCCGCCACGUGCAGGAGCAGGCACGCCGCCGUGACGGCGACGGCCAGCCCCCUCCACGUCGACCACCAGUUCUCCGGCGCCCCCAUACCUUCCUCCUUUUGCUUCUUGAUUGAAACAGAAGGGCACCCGGGAGAACAGGGGUCCGAUCCCUCGACGAGCGUUUGGGUCAGCGCGGUGGCCGGUGGGUUGCUCGAGCGUUUGUUGGGUUGGUUUGGAAAUGAGAAAGGAGCAGGAGGAGGGAGGGAGGGCGGGAGGAGGCGGCCGUUAUAUAGGGGAGCGGCCGGCGGCGUUGGUCGGGCCCAGCCCGCGCUCUGUUCUGCUCUGUUUCUGUUCAUGCUUUGGGUUUGUCCCAGUCAACGAGUUAGGUUUAAGCCCAAGCCUCCUGGGUUGACCAUGCUGGCUGGCUUGCUGAACUGAUGUGGCAUUUCCUGUUUUCUGUUGCAAAUUGUAAAGGAGAGCAAAACCCGGAAAUGGAACGUGAAAGGCACGGGUUAAAAUCACGCAUUAUUUCUGAAUUCAUUUCAGGAUUUCCGGCGAUGCGCUUUCAGUGGGAGGAGACGUCCCGUCGAUGAUGAGGCCUCUGCGAUGACUUCGUAAAUCUCAGGAUAAUAUGCCGACUCAGUCUCUCGAAGGUGCUCAUAGGAGUAGAGUGUGCGUGUAUGCGUACAUACGGGUGAGUGUAUGCGCGUAUGUGUGAGCGCUUACAUUUGUAUUGUGUUCAAAAAAAAUAGGAGGCUAUUGGAGACAAUUUUUUUUUCUCUCCUACUUAAAAUAAGUAACGUUAUGUUGUCCACCACCUCCUUUGUCCAACAUUCUCCCUUUUCCUCCGGACUUUUACUCACUUACAAAAUAAAAG